UAUCAUUUUCCCAAAGGACUCUUAGGCCUUAACUUUCAUGGAACCUAAUCGCGUUAGACUUGAGAAGAGAAUAAAUUUGGUGGUGAUAUGCAAAGAAAAAAAAUAAACAUGUAAUGCAGUUGAUUAAAUAGGUUUUGAGAAACUAUGGAUGAAUGGUGUUGUUAGGGUUUACAAUUUCAUCUUAUCCACUCUCAUAUAUCUACUCUUCUUAUUUAAUUCACUUAUUUAUCUAAUUUCCAUGCAUACUUUCUUAAUUACCCUUAACCCAAUCUCUUGGUGAAAAGAUCCUAUUAUUAAUUACCGGUUUGCUAUCCCUAGCCUCCCCUAGUAACCCAUAAUGCAAUGCGAUCUGAAGCAAUUACAAUUGACCGUCCUACCCCUAUCCCUAGGCGAUAUUAGCAUAAUCAAGGAAUUUCC
rnacentral:lncRNA from 1 species